CGUAGGGUGCAAGCGUUAUCCGGAAUUAUUGGGCGUAAAGAGCUCGUAGGCGGUUUGUCACGUCUGCUGUGAAAACUGGAGGCUCAACCUCCAGCCUGCAGUGGGUACGGGCAGACUAGAGUGCGGUAGGGGAGAUUGGAAUUCCUGGUGUAGCGGUGGAAUGCGCAGAUAUCAGGAGGAACACCGAUGGCGAAGGCAGAUCUCUGGGCCGUAACUGACGCUGAGGAGCGAAAGGGUGGGAGCAAACAGGCUU
rnacentral:rRNA from 1 species